rnacentral:lncRNA from 1 species
UCUUAUAUUGCAUUGUUCAUACAUACAUUACGUGUGUUUGUGUAUUGAGUGUGUGUAUUGUUUGGGGCCUGAACCAACAUUUGGUAUCAGAGCCUAGGGCUCGUAAAGACAGAGAAAGACGGUUUGAGAGUCGGUUUCGAGAAAGGGUGUAGCCCUUGGCUGUGGGGAAAACGCAACAGGAAGAAACCGAGUUUCGGUAGUUAUUCUUCGCAGCCUAUUUUCGGGUUUUCAAAACAGGGUAUUUGCGGGUGUUUUGGGACAGCAGGGGGGCUGUUUCGGUGUCGUUUUACAGCAGAAGACGGAGGCGUUAUGGUUGAUCAAAAGAAGGUUCAAGGCUGUUCGGAUGUUAGUUGCGGGUUUGCGCAAGCUGUUAUACAAGGGUGACAACAGCAGAAUGUUUUGCGGAAGCCUUGAUCGGAUUGUUCGUGAUAAGAGGAGACCGGUGUAGUGCGUGAAAAGCGGGAAGAAUGGAUCCGUCAAAGCAGGCGGCUUUGGAUUCGUCUCGUUUGGCAAGGUGAGAAAACGGAAGAAGCGGGUGGCUUGUUUUCUUUGUCGGUGGAUAGUCUCUUGAACAAGGUGAUCGGAAAAAGGUUGUAGAAAAAAAGGGAGAACACGGUGGUGACAUUAUGGCGUUGGAGUUCACUCGGGUGGCUUUGGAUGUGACCGGGGAAGGUUGUUGAUCCGUGAUAAGUCGUGAUGUUAAUGAACGGUGUUCCAACGUUAUGCCAUGUUACAUGUUACGGGCGUGGUGU